UACGUAGGGGGCGAGCGUUGUCCGGAUUUAUUGGGCGUAAAGAGCUCGUAGGCGGUUCGAUAAGUCGGACGUGAAAUCUCCACGCUCAACGUGGAGGGGCCGUUCGAUACUGUCGUGACUCGAGUCCGGUAGGGGAGUGUGGAAUUCCCGGUGUAGCGGUGAAAUGCGCAGAUAUCAGGAAGAACACCAACGGCGAAGGCAGCUCGCUGGGACGGUACUGACGCUGAGACGCGAAAGCGUGGGGAGCGAACAGG
rnacentral:rRNA from 1 species